rnacentral:rRNA from 1 species
UGCGCAGGCGGAAUAUUAAGUCAGUAGUGAAAUCCUGCAGCUUAACUGUAGAACUGUUAUUGAUACUGGUUUUCUUGAAUAUAGUUGAGGUAGGCGGAAUGUGUAAUGUAGCGGUGAAAUGCUUAGAUAUUACACAGAACACCGAUUGCGAAGGCAGCUUACUAAGCUAUGAUUGACGCUGAGGUACGAAAGCGUGGGGAGCGAACAGGAUUAGAUACCCUGGUAGUCC